GACGUUGAAUAUCAACGUCAUAAACAUUCAACUUACAUGUUUAUGACGUUGAUAUUCAACGUCAUCAACAUUCAAAUUAGAUGUUUAUAACGUUGAUAUUCAACGUCAUAAACAUUCAACUUACAUGUUUAUGACGUUGAUAUUCAACGUCGUAAACAUUCAAAUUAGAUGUUUAUGACGUUGAAUAUCAACGUCAUAAACAUUCAACGUCGAUAUUCGACCUCAUAAACACGAUCAACUUUGGUGUUUAUGACGUCAAUAUUCGACGUC